CCUACGGGAGGCAGCAGUGGGGAAUAUUGCACAAUGGGGGAAACCCUGAUGCAGCCACGCCGCGUGCGUGAAGAAGUAAUUCGUUAUGUAAAGCUCUAUCAGCAGGGAAGAAAAUGACGGUACCUGAGUAAGAAUCCCCGGCUAACUACGUGCCAGCAGCCGCGGUAAUACGUAGGGGGCCAGCGUUAUCCGGAUUUACUGGGUGUAAAGGGAGCGUAGACGGCAGUGCAAGUCUGGAGUGAAAGGCGGGGGCUCAACCCCCGGACUGCACUGGAAACUGUACGGCUGGAGUGCAGGAGAGGUAAGUGGAAUUCCUAGUGUAGCGGUGAAAUGCGUAGAUAUUAGGAGGAACACCAGUGGCGAAGGCGGCUUACUGGACUGUAACUGACGUUGAGGCUCGAAAGCGUGGGUAGCAAACAGGAUUAGAUACCCUUGUAGUC
rnacentral:rRNA from 1 species